ACUCCUACGGGAGGCAGCAGUAGGGAAUCUUCCACAAUGGACGAAAGUCUGAUGGAGCAACGCCGCGUGAGUGAAGAAGGGUUUCGGCUCGUAAAACUCUGUUGUUAAAGAAGAACAUAUCUGAGAGUAACUGUUCAGGUAUUGACGGUAUUUAACCAGAAAGCCACGGCUAACUACGUGCCAGCAGCCGCGGUAAUACGUAGGUGGCAAGCGUUGUCCGGAUUUAUUGGGGCGUAAAGCGAGCGCAGGCGGUUUUUAAGUCUGAUGUGAAAGCCUUCGGCUCAACCGAAGAAGUGCAUCGGAAACUGGGAAACUUGAGUGCAGAAGAGGACAGUGGAACUCCAUGUGUAGCGGUGAAAUGCGUAGAUAUAUGGAAGAACACCAGUGGCGAAGGCGGCUGUCUAGGUCUGUAACUGACGCUGAGGCUCGAAAGUAUGGGUAGCAAACAGGAUUAGAUACCCUGGUAGGCUAGCG
rnacentral:rRNA from 1 species